GGGUACGUUGACGUCUAGCUUAAUGACAACACGGCAGAUUGGUGCGGGUUUCGUCUUUUUCCACUCAUCUAUAAAAUGAAUUAAAUUUGAAGUGUUGAACAAAAACCAUCGACAACAAUUGUGCUAAAUCCACCUGUGUAAAUAAGUGCCAACCUGUGCGUUUAACUUACGUCUCCAGGAAGCGUUUCAUGCGCUAAUUUAGCAAGACACUUGCUGCCGCCGACGACGCUCCCAAGAAAUUCUUUAGCCUUAAGCAUUCGCAUCACAAGAGUCGUCAGCCAGCUGGAGCGGGAAGCGAGAGAGCUUUGCCUAACGAUAAUACCACGUAGCUUAUCUCUUUGGCAAGAUGAUUCCGCUAACGCACAAGGAUCGAAGCAAUUUUGGCUACCGUAUCAAGGAGAAGUUAAACAGCUGGAAGCGUCUCAUAUUCUCCGAUCGCAAUUCCCGCAAUUUGUUUCUUUUCCUAUUGCUCAACUUGAGUUUUGCUUUCGUUGAGCUGUUUUAUGGCAUUUUGACAAACAGCUUAGGCCUCAUCUCCGAUUCGUUUCACAUGUUCUUCGACUGCACGGGUCUUUUAGCUGGUCUGGCUGCGUCAGUGAUAACAAAGUGGAAGGCCAAUGAUAAGUUCUCUUAUGGCUAUGUGCGAGCUGAGGUAUUGGCGGGCUUUGUGAAUAGCUUGUUUUUGCUCUUCAUUGCCUUCUUCAUACUGUCGGAGGGCGUAGAGAGACUAAUCGAACCGCCAGAAGUGAAGCACGAACGGUUAUUUGUCGUAUCCGUGCUUGGUCUACUCGUCAAUCUCGUUGGCAUAUACGCCUUUAAUCACGGGGGUCAUGGUCACUCCCAUGGCGGAGGUGGUGGUCAUGGACAUGGGCAUUCUCAUGGCGGCGGCGGUUCCAGUCAUGGACACUCCCAUAACCACAAUGAUCUCAACAAUCACAACCAUCAAGCGAUUUCAUUGGAUAAUGGACAUGGUCAUUCACACGAUCACAGCGGGAGCAGCAGCAGCCAUGGACACUCCCAUGAUUUAAGUGGAAGCGGCAGCAAUUCGCAGAUAAUGCGUGGUGUCUUCCUUCACAUUCUGGCCGACACCCUUGGCUCCGUGGGCGUCAUUAUAUCGGCAGUGCUAAUGCAAAUGUUUGGAUGGAUGAUCGCGGAUCCGAUUUGUUCAAUUUUCAUCGCAAUUUUAAUAGCUCUAAGUGUGCUAAGUUUAAUUAAGGAAUCCAUACUAAUCCUUAUGCAGCGUCAGCCCAGCGCAUUGGACCGAUCGCUGUUGCAGUGCUACCAGAAAGUGACUGGCUUGGCUGGUGUUUAUUCCGUGCAGGAGCCGCACUUUUGGACCCUCUGUUCAGAUGUCUUUGUGGGUGCCAUCAAGCUUGAGGUGUCGAAGAAUGUUGAUCCCACAUAUGUGGUGACGCAUACGCGAAUGAUCUUUGAGUCUGUUGGUGUCAAGCAAAUCUAUGUACAGCUCGAUUAUGUGUGAUUAACGAAGAUCUAAACAUUAUGCCUAAUAACACCUAAUAUAUAUAUAUAUAUAUAUAUAUAUAUAUAUAUAUGUUUGAUCACUAUGUAUAUUGAGCAGCGUGUUGUGUAUGUAGUAUGUAACCAUGAGUGUUUUUUACCUAAAUUUUAGUUAAUUAAGCUGAAUGCGAUGCGCGAUAAAAUUGAAUCAAAAGAGCGGACUGUAAAGUAUAAUCUAAUCGUACCGAUAAGCUUGUCGAAAGUUUUGUUAAUUUAUUUUUUGUAAAUUGUUAAUACAAUUCAUUCCAAACAUACAUAUAACAUAUAUCAAAGCCUAUCACAAUGAACUUAGUGCAACAUUGCAGCUGUUGCUGUUUCCAUAUACAAACUUAGUGUAAUUGUAAUAUAUAAGUGUAAAAUUUUACGUUGAAAAUAGUACACACAAUUAUCUGAGAAGUCCUUUUUUUUUAAACAUAGACAGAACAAACUAACACUUAAAUCAUUUGACUGAAAAAAAUAAUUUAAAGACUCAUUCUAUUUUGCUUAAAUGGGAGUCUAAAAACAAAAUGCAAUUAUAAACAAUUGUGCCGCAUCAAAAUUAUGAACGAAAUAAAACGAAAUUGUUAAUAUAUUUUAUAAAAAAAAAAUGGACCAAUUAAUGAACGUCGCGCAUGUUUUCCUUUUUAUGCUAUUAACUAUUGCUCAGGCCCAUUUGCAUAUACAUAUGUACAUCCGACUUACAUUUAUGCUAAUAUAUUUUUUAAACAAUAUUUUGAACAAAUUACGUGCUUGACUGUAACUUCACAAUUUUUUGCGAUUUUGGCACGGAAAAUACUUAAUACCGUUAAAUCGUUGUUUCAUUUCAAAAUUAUUUGCGGUUCACCAAAUACGUUACCAAACAUUUUUUAAUUAUUAACCUAAUAUUCUUCUUCUACUGUAUUUUCUUUACAUAAGAGAAUCAGAAAGUCGAAUGCUGGAAGUUGAAGUUGACUAUACUACGCUGUUAAAUUGGCCGAAUCAUUACAAAUUUUUUAAAAAUUGAACCUUUUGCCGUAUUACAGAUAUGUAGAUCUGAAAUGUAGAAACUAAAUAAUUAAAUUUAAAACUUGUUUUUGCUUUUAACGUGACAUUAAAUUUCUUCUGGAAGUUUGUAAAUUAUUAUGUGCAUUAAAUUUAAUUAUUUAGUAACUACUAGUUUUAUUUUGAUUUUUUUAAAACCCUACUUCUUUUGGUUAACUUUAUUGAAAAUCGCCUGGUCGAUAUCCAUUAAAAUAAUUCAGCCCAAUUACAAAAAAUAUGUAAUUAAUUUUUUGAUGGCAGCACUCGAUUGAAUUUUCUUUCUAAAUUUCCAUAAUUACAAAUAGAGAUUAUAUUAUUCAUAUAGCUUUACAUAAUAUUAUACAUAGAUACUAGACGCAUGCAGUGGAUAUUGUGUUCUUUGUAAUGUAUUCUAAUUAACACAUUUUUUUAAAAGUACCGUUCUAAACAAAAAAUUGGUACAACUACUUAAGAACUAUACGCUGAUAUACGAAGUAAAACGAACGUGAAGUAGCUAGAUGAUGAAUAAACUUGCAGGUUAUGUUCAAUGCCGCAAAACGCAAGAAAUGUAGGACACAUUCUUUCAGCAAUCAUGUACUGCUGCAUUGCGCAGGUCUGUUUCAAUUCACUGUCAAAGGUCAAUAACUUUUUGCUUGCCCCAACCAAUAGCUGACUCAUUCAACUUUGUUCUGUAACUGUUAACAUGAUAUGUGCUGGAAAAAUGCAUGGGACCUUUAAAAUUAAAACAUCAAUUGAGAAUGCAGUAAAUGUAUAAGGUUUUCGUUUAUUUUUUUUUCGUACAUACAAAUAUGAUCUUUACCUCCGAUUCUUUUUGACAUUUUUAAUUGAAAACGUAAACAAAAGUAUACAUAAAUGUGGUUGAUAUAAAACAUUAAAUUACGUUUCUCUCCAGAUACCACAAAUUCGUUAGAUUUUGCUACUGUAUGUGGCUCCUGAUGGCGCAGUCUUUUGCUUUAACUAAAAUUUUUUUUUCAUAAUACAUCCAAAUUAUAAUGGUUGAGAGUUGUCAAUUUCGAA